UCCAAUCGAACCCGGAGAUAGCUGGUUCUCCCCGAAAUAGCUUUAGGGCUAGCGUCGAGGUAAGUUGCGUGAAGGUAGAGCACUGAAUAUGUGAUGGCCCCAUCUCGGGGUACUGAGCAUAAUCAAACUGCGAAUGUCACGCCAACAUGCUCGGCAGUCAGACAGCGGGUGAUAAGGUCCGUUGUCAAGAGGGAAACAGCCCAGACCAUCAGCUAAGGUCCCAAAAUGUAUGCUAAGUGGAAAAGGAUGUGGAGAUGUACAGACAACUAGGAGGUUGGCUCAGAAGCAGCCAUCCUUUAAAGAGUGCGUAACAGCUCACUAGUCGAAUGACUCUGCGCCGAUAAUUUACCGGGGCUAAGCAUACUACCGAAGCUAUGGAUCCCAAGGGAUGGUAGGGGAGCGUUCCAUGAACGGAGAAGUACGACCGAAAGGACGUGUGGAGAUCAUGGAAGAGAGAAUGCCGGUGUGAGUAGCGGAACGUGGGUGAGAAUCCCACGCACCGAAAACCCAAGGUUUCCAGAGGAAGGUUCGUCCGCUCUGGGUAAGUCGGGACCUAAGGCGAGGCCGAAAGGCGUAGUCGAUGGACAACAGGUAGAGAUUCCUGUACCCGUAUAUAUGUGAAGGAAUGACGGAGAGAGGAAGCUGCAGCCAGCGGCUGGAAGAGCUGGUGCAAGCGAGAUAUCGGGAUGGCAGGCAAAUCCACCAUCCGAAACGAGAAGGCGUGAAGCGUACGGAAAGCUACGGCGAGUACGGAAGGCAGUGGAGGAACUUCCAAGAAAAGUUUCUAACGUUAAGUAUAUAUGGCCCGUACCGAAAAUGGACACACAUGGGUGAGGAGAGAAUCCUAAGGUGAGCGAGAGAACUAUAGCUAAGGAACUCUGCAAAAUGACUCCGUAACUUAGGGAGAAGGAGUGCUCAUAGAGAUAUGAGCCGCAGUGAAACGGCCCAAGCGACUGUUUACCAAAAACACAGCUCUCUGCUAAGCCGCAAGGCGAAGUAUAGGGGGUGACGCCUGCCCGGUGCUGGAAGGUUAAGGGGAGGGGUUAACGCAAGUGAAGCCCUGAACUGAAGCCCCAGUAAACGGCGGCCGUAACUAUAACGGUCCUAAGGUAGCGAAAUUCCUUGUCAGGUAAGUUCUGACCCGCACGAAAGGCGUAACGAUUUGGGCGCUGUCUCAGCUGUAGACUCGGUGAAGUCUUAGUACCUGUGAAGAUGCAGGUUACCCGCGACUAGACGGAAAGACCCCAUGGAGCUUCACUGCAGGUUGAUAUUGGGAUUUGAUGCAGCAUGUACAGGAUAGGUAGGAGGCAAAGAGAUGGAUACGCCAGUAUUCAAGGAGCCGCUGUUGGGAUACUACCCCUGUUGUAUUGGAUUUCUAACCGGACGACGUAGAGCCGUUGACGGGACAGUGUCAGUCGGGCAGUUUGACUGGGGCGGUCGCCUCCCAAAGAGUAACGGAGGCGCCCAAAGAUACCCUCAGCUUGGAUGGAAACCAAGCGCAGAGUGCAAAGGCAAAAGGGUGUUUGACUGCGAGACCCACAAGUCGAGCAGGGACGAAAGUCGGGCUUAGUGAUCCGGCGGUGCUGAAUGGAAAGGCCGUCGCUCAACGGAUAAAAGCUACCCUGGGGAUAACAGGCUGAUCUCCCCCAA
rnacentral:rRNA from 1 species